UAUGAGCUGGGGAUCUCAUUUGCAUAGAUGGGCCCUCCCUCUGUCAGAGGAUGAAAAGGGGAAGGAACAGAUUAGGGGAGGCUCUGUUCAGCUGUGGGGCCACAGAAGGCACGAUCGGUGAUGACCUCCACCAUGGCCUGGUCCCCUCUCCUCCUCACCCUCCUUGCUCACUGCACAGGGUCCUGGGCCCAGUCUAUGCUGACUCAGCCGCCAUCAGUGUCUGGGGCCCUGGGCCAGACGGUCACCAUCUCUUGCAGUGGAAGCACCAACAACAUCGGUAUUUAUGGUGUGAACUGGUACCAACAGCUCCCAGGAGAGGCCCCUAAACUCCUCAUCUAUGGCAAUAGCAAUCGACCCUCGGGGGUCCCAGAUCGAUUUUCUGGCUCCAAGUCUGGCAGCACAGGCUCCUUGACCAUCACUGGGCUCCAGGCUGAGGACGAGGCAGAUUAUUACUGCCAGACCAUUCACUUAACUGUCAGUGAUUACACAAUGUUCCAGGCUCAUGGGGAAGUGAGAAAAAAAACCUGCUGUCCCCACAGAAAUGGGACUUGCUGUGUAGCCCUGACAUUUUGGCCCUAUCAGCUAUUUCUUUGUUUGAUAUCAACUGAGGUCUGUCACCCGCCUCAAAGAAUUUGUCUACAAAUCUUUCCACAUUCUCUUAAAUUUCUCCUUGAAGCCUGUCCUGGGGAGCAAGAUAUUUUCUGAUUUUCUCAAACUGAGCGCAAAUUCCUGGGCGCCAGAAACAGGCCACCCUGAGGACAGUGACCAUGUCAUAAUAGGGCAGAAACAGGGUCACAAAAUCCAGAGUAUCUAUGGCUGAUUCGUAUAUUUGGGUCUUUUGAAAUGAGUCCCUGUCCAUUCCCAUCAGUGCUGAGAUCUAAGCAGUGAUUUUUGUUAUUCACUUGCUAUUUGUUAUUCACUUUGUUAAUACUUACUUGCAGAAGGAUGUUGAGUAAUAAUGGUGUUUAGGUCACAUUAGCCUGUUCACCUUGCAGAAAUGUCCUCCCCUCCACCACCCUAUUAUUUAAUUCCCUGGUUGUGGGAGUGAGUUCUAUAUGUGUAGGAGGGAAUGUGCUAUCACAAUAUAAAUGCUUCUGUUUCCAUUUUAUGUGGUUUUUAUUAGGACUUUGCUUUCAAUUUUUCAAAGAAUCUUUCAAGGUCUACUGAGAUCAUGGGAUUUUCAUCUGUUUAUUUACUAAUAUGAUGCCUUAUCUUAGAAGAUUUAUUAAUACGGAAUCCCACUCUAUAUUUGCAAUAAAUCACAUAUAGUCACUUUA